rnacentral:tRNA from 2 species
GGAGAGGUGGCCGAGCGGUUGAAGGCGCACGCUUGGAAAGCGUGUGAAGGUUUACCCCUUCCGAGGGUUCGAAUCCCUCCCUCUCCG